rnacentral:rRNA from 1 species
CAGCCGCGGUAAUACGGAGGGUGCAAGCAUUAAUCGGAUUUAUUGGGCGUAAAGGGCGCGUAGGCGGACUGGCAAGUCAGAUGUGAAAUCCCGGGACUUAAUCUCGGAACUGCAUUUGAAACUAUCAGACUUAGAGGAUGGACGGAGAAAAUGGAAUUCCACGUGUAGCGGUGAAAUGCGUAGAUAUGUGGAAGAACACCUGUGGCGAAAGCGAUUUUCUAGUUUAUUCCUGACGCUGAGGCGCGAGAGCAAGGGGAGCAAACAGGAUUAGAUACCCUGGUAGUCCUUGCCUUAAACGAUGUAUACUUGAUGUAGACCGGCUCUACCCGGUCUGUGUCGAAGCUAACGCGAUAAGUAUACCGCCUGGGGAGUACGCUCGCAAGGGUGAAACUCAAAAGAAUUGACGGGGGCCCGCACAAGCAGUGGAGCAUGUGGUUUAAUUCGAUGCAACGCGAAGAACCUUACCCAGACUUGACAUAGAGUGGACCGGUCUAGAAAUAGGCCUUUCCUUACGGACUGCUCUACAGGUGCUGCAUGGCUGUCGUCAGCUCGUGCCGUGAGGUGUUGGGUUAAGUCCCGCAACGAGCGCAACCCUUGUCAUUAGUUACCAGCACGUAAAGGUGGGGACUCUAAUGAGACUGCCUCGGUUAACGAGGAGGAAGGUGAGGAUGACGUCAAGUCCGCAUGGCCCUUAUGUCUGGGGCUACACACGUGCUACAAUGGUCGGUACAGAAGGCAGCAAAGUCGAAAGAUGGAGCAAAUCCCUAAAACCGAUCUCAGUUCAGAUUGUAGUCUGCAACUCGGCUACAUGAAGUUGGAAUUGCUAGUAAUGACGCGUCAGCAACAGGGUCGUGAAUACGUUCCCGGGCCUUGC